rnacentral:rRNA from 1 species
UACGUAGGGUGCAAGCGUUGUCCGGAAUUAUUGGGCGUAAAGAGCUCGUAGGCGGUUCGUCGCGUCGGCUGUGAAAUCCCGAGGCUCAACCUCGGGUCUGCAGUCGAUACGGGCGGACUGGAGUUCGGCAGGGGAGACUGGAAUUCCUGGUGUAGCGGUGAAAUGCGCAGAUAUCAGGAGGAACACCGGUGGCGAAGGCGGGUCUCUGGGCCGAUACUGACGCUGAGGCACGAAAGCGUGGGGAGCAAACAGG